rnacentral:rRNA from 1 species
AUUGAACGCUGGCGGCAGGCCUAACACAUGCAAGUCGAACGAGUGGCGGACGGGUGAGUAAUGUCUGGGAACCUGCCUGAUGGAGGGGGAUAACUACUGGAAACGGUAGCUAAUACCGCAUACCAUCAGAUGUGCCCAGAUUGGAUUAGCUAGUGGGUGGGGUAACGGCUCACAACGGCGACGAUCCCUAGCUGGUCUGAGAGGGUGACCAGCCACACUGGAACUGAGACACGGUCCAGACUCCUACGGGAGGCAGCAGUGGGGAAUAUUGCACAAUGGGCGCAAGCCUGAUGCAGCCAUGCCGCGUGUAUGAAGAAGGCCUUCGGGUUGUAAAGUACUUUAAGCGGGGAGGCGUUACCAGCAGAAGAAGCACCGGCUAACUCCGUGCCAGCAGCCGCGGUAAUAC